AUGGAAAGCGAGCUCACCCGCUGCUCGCCAGGGCAACUGGUGCAGGUGCCCGCAGGGGGAGAAGGUGCCCCACGGCUUCAGGGCAGGGGGGGAAGGACUGACCCAGUGAGUGGGAGCCUCGUUCAUGCCUGGGCAGAGAGGAGCCGCUGCCUGGGGACAGCGGGACUUUGGGGGAGCCGAGCGGCAGGGUCCGGGGGGAGGGGGGGGGGUGGCCACGGCAGCCAGAGCUCACAGGGUCCGAGUGGAAGCCCUGGCCUUUCAGUUGAGCCACGCAGGCCAGAGGGCCUCCCCGCAAACUGCCAGACCCGACGAGGACGCACACGUGGUGCUCGGGGGCGCAGGAGUCCCUCCUGCCCGCACCCCCGCUGCCCCAGGUCGGCCAGACUCACGGCGGCCCCGAUCCAAGUCCAAGAACACACAACCCAGCCGCGUGCGUCUGCCCCCACGGCCAAAGCAGAGGGGGAAAGACCAACGAGCCGAGCCGGAGGCAACAGGCUCCCGCCACCCAACCACACGCACAUCUGCGGCCCCUGGGGCGGGGUGGCGCGGGUGGCAGGGGGAGGCCACCGGGGGGACCCGCCAAGCACGGCGCCACCCCUGGCGGCCGCCCUCACCAGAGCCACGCCGGACACCCACGCCCGCCGCCCACUACUGACCCCCCGGGCCCACUGCGUCCUUCCAAGCCUCACCUCUCCGCCGCCGCUGUGUCUUCAACUCCCCCUCCUCCCGCGUCCUCACCCCCUCCUCCCACACGCUCACCUCCUCCUCUCGCGGCCUCGCCUCCUCCUUCCCCAGCUCCUGCCAGCAUCCACCCGACACACGAAGCCCCGAAGCCCCGAGGCACCUCCACAGCGGGGCUCGAGGUCGUGGACGCGGCCCGCACUGUCCCAAACGCGCCUCCCCAGCCGGCGUCAGGGCGACCCAGCUCGCUGGGGUCAGCAGGCACGCGGAGACGGGGCGGGGCCGGGAACACGCAUGCGCGGGGGGUGCGGCGGCCGCCCCCUGUCGGCCCUCGGGGGCAGUGCGGGUCGUCCGGCCGCCCGCUGGGUCCCUUAUCGCGUUGAAAGUCACACUGAACUGAGCCACCCAUCCCGUCUCUUAGCCAAAGAUCGUUAA
rnacentral:lncRNA from 1 species